AUUGAACGCUGGCGGAAUGCUUUACACAUGCAAGUCGAACGGCAGCACGGGGGCAACCCUGGUGGCGAGUGGCGAACGGGUGAGUAAUACAUCGGAACGUGCCCAGUCGUGGGGGAUAACGUAGCGAAAGCUACGCUAAUACCGCAUACGAUCUGCGGCUGAAAGCGGGGGACCUUCGGGCCUCGCGCGAUUGGCGCGGCCGAUGGCAGAUUGGGUAGUUGGUGGGGUAAAGGCUCACCAAGCCGACGAUCUGUAGCUGGUCUGAGAGGACGACCAGCCACACUGGGACUGAGACACGGCCCAGACUCCUACGGGAGGCAGCAGUGGGGAAUUUUGGACAAUGGGCGCAAGCCUGAUCCAGCCAUUCCGCGUGCAGGAUGAAGGCCCUCGGGUUGUAAACUGCUUUUGUACGGAACGAAAAGGCUUUCUCUAAUACAGAGGGCUAAUGACGGUACCGUAAGAAUAAGCACCGGCUAACUACGUGCCAGCCGCCGCAGUAAUAC
rnacentral:rRNA from 1 species